CGGAGGGUGCAAGCGUUAUCCGGAUUCACUGGGUUUAAAGGGAGCGCAGGCGGACUGGUGAGUCAGUGGUGAAAUACCUGAGCUUAACUCGGGAACUGCCAUUGAUACUAUCAGUCUUGAAUGUUGUUGAGGUUUGCGGAAUGGGUCAUGUAGCGGUGAAAUGCAUAGAUAUGACCCGGAACACCUAUUGCGAAGGCAGCAGGCUAAACAAAUAUUGACGCUGAGGCUCGAAAGCGUGGGGAUCAAACAGGAUUAGAUACCCUGGUAGUCCACGCCCUAAACGAUGAUUACUCGACAUACGCGAUACACUGUGUGUGUCUGAGCGAAAGCAUUAAGUAAUCCACCUGGGAAGUACGACCGCAAGGUUG
rnacentral:rRNA from 1 species